AGCAGCCGCGGUAAUUCCAGCUCCAAUAGCGUAUAUUAAAGUUGUUGCAGUUAAAAAGCUCGUAGUUGAAUUUCGGGAUCAAUGUUUUGGUCAUGCCGUUGGUAUGUACUGAUAUUAUUGAUUUCUCACCUUCUAAAGAACCGUAAUGCCAUUAAUUUGGUGUCACGGGGAAUUAGGACUGUUACCUUGAAAAAUUAGAGUGUUUAAAGCAGGCUCACGCUUGAAUACAUUAGCAUGGAAUAAUGAAAUAGGACAUCCGAUUCUAUUUUGUUGGUUUCUAGGAUCGAUGUAAUGAUUAAUAGGGAUAGUUGGGGGCAUUAGUAUUCAAUUGUCAGAGGUGAAAUUCUUGGAUUUAUUGAAGACUAACUACUGCGAAAGCAUUUGCCAAGGAUGUUUUCAUUAAUCAAGAACGAAAGUUAGGGGAUCGAAGACGAUCAGAUACCGUCGUAG
rnacentral:rRNA from 1 species